UUUGCUUUUAUUUGUAUGCCACUGUCAUGCCUUAGCUUCCAAGGGAAGAGAUCUUUCCUUUCCUUGUUAACCUCCCUCAAGGCCCAGUAGAGGGCACUAUACACAUGAGGACUGCUUGUGAGGAUGCCGUUGGCUUGAUGGUAUAUCCUCAAAGACAAUUCUCUGAGCUGUUUUUCUCUUGCCUGAGUUUUCCAUGCUCAGGCCACAUCAGCUUAAAAUAAAUGCUGCUGGACAAUAAUAAUGGAGACUUCAUCCCUGCCACACUGCAUAUUAAAUGGCUCAACUGAGAGGCUUGUCAGCACACUUAUCACUCAAUCAUGUUGGAGAAAUGGAAAAACCUUUGAAUCCACACUUUGGACUAAAGAUUUUUUUUUGCCUUUUCUAGGGCUGCUCCCACGGCAUAUGGAGGUUCCCAGGCUAGGGGAGCAGACUCAGAGCUGCAGCUGCUGGCCUACACCAUAGCCACAGCAAUACCAGAUCCAAGCUGAGUCUGUGACCUAUGAGCAGCUCACAGUAAAGCUGGAUCCUUUAACCCAGUGAGUGAGGCCAGGGAUCGAACCUGCAUCCUCAUGGAUACUAAUGGGUUCUUAACCUGCUGAGUGCCAGUGGGAACUUUGGGACUGCCUUUCUUUAAUAAAACCACCUAGCUCACUUAGUGUCUAGCAUGCUGUUCGGCAAGGCUGAUGGUUAGGUGGCAUCACAAUUCAUUGCCUGGUUUAAAUCAAGAGAGAGCAAGUCAGUAACAUCCUGAGGAGCUAAAAACUUAUUGGAAAGUUUCUGAUUAAAGAGAAAGAAUAAGUUAGAUACUGAAAACAACAUUCCUUCUCUCUCUCUCUCUUUUUUUUUGGCUGUACCUGCAGCAUGUGGAAGUUCCUGGGCCAAGGAUCAAAUCUGUGCCACAGCAGUGACAUUGCUGGAUCCUUAACCAUCUGAGCCACCAGGGAACUCCCACAGCAUUCCUUCUCUAGUUUAGAAGUACUCCCCCCUCUUUAGGCGAUGGAAAUUUCUCUUGCAUGUCUAUUUCUCUGGACCUUGUUUCUCUUUCUUGAUGCAUACUCUCACAUUUGGGAAAAUACCAUGAUAAAUUCUCCUAAUCAAACCUGGGCAAAUUUCAAUCUUUACACGUGGUAGGUUUGGUCUGAAUGUGAGAGGAGACAAUUGUGAGUUUAUUUCUCCUUGGUAAUGUUUCUUUUGUAUAUUAUGUUCAUAAGUAGUUUUAAACUUCUUUCAGUAGCAGGAUUUCAGCAAUGGUUAGGACAUCAUGAAGAAAGAAGUGACUCUGCCUCCUGCUGGCCACAAGCAGAAAGGGGUGAGUUCCUUUUGGUUUAUUACUAGAACUCCCAUCUGUCCUUCACAGACUUGGGAUCUUGUGAAGUGAUGGAAAACUGAAUGGGAAAAGAGUGGGCUUCCUUUUUUGUUUAGCCUCAACUAAGCUUUAGGUGUCAAUAAACCAUUUAGAUCAAAUACCUCAAAUAUCUCAUUUUGUGAGUCAAAACCUGAGAUCGCUCCAUCUUCUGCAUUAGCUUUAGAAACAACAGCAUGGAUGAAAGUCAGAGAAAGUCCUGGUCUAUAUGCCAACACCCCUGCUCCCUUUCCCCUAAAUGAUGGAAAUGGGCAACCCAGACAUCCCACAUGAAGGGCCCCUGUCCCUUAGAAACUCAGAGACCCACACCAGCUUCUCCCCCGAAAGGUGUCUUCAGUCUUAUUUAUUUUCUUCCCUUUUCCCAAACCCCAAUAAAACACACCAACUGCUUCAGAGUAUUUCUGGGUUGGGUUUUUUCGUGGGUCUUCUUUUUGUUUGUUUGUUUUUUAUUUCACAUACUGAAAAAGUCCCCUGGGCUCUGUGGGGCU
rnacentral:lncRNA from 1 species